rnacentral:rRNA from 1 species
UACGUAGGGGGCAAGCGUUGUCCGGAAUCAUUGGGCGUAAAGAGCUCGUAGGCGGUUUGGUAAGUUGGAUGUGAAAUCUCCAGGCUCAACUUGGAGGGGUCAUUCGAUACUGCCAUGACUAGAGUUCGGUAGGGGAGUGUGGAAUUCCUGGUGGAGCGGUGAAAUGCGCAGAUAUCAGGAGGAACACCGGUGGCGAAGGCGGGACUCUGGGCCGAUACUGACGCUGAGGAGCGAAAGCGUGGGGAGCGAACAGG